UCCGUAGGUGAACCUGCGGAAGGAUCAUUAAUAAAUGCUUUAUUGCAUCCACCUUUUGUGCACUGUAAAUAUUUCACUUAAAUUUUGUCUGAUUUAUCUUUGUUCUGAAUGGAACAUGAAUUGUAAUUAAAAACAACUUUUAACAAUGGAUCUCUUGGCUCUCGCAUCGAUGAAGAACGCAGCGAAAUGCGAUAAGUAAUGUGAAUUGCAGAAUUCAGUGAAUCAUCGAAUCUUUGAACGCAUAUUGCGCUCUCCGGCAUUCCGGAGAGCAUGCCUGUUUGAGUAUUGGUCUCAUGGGUAACCACACUUCGGGAUGAAAUGUAAAUACCUCGUAAUAGAAGUUGAUUCUACGUCAGACAUGUUUCAUGUUAAUCGUUCAAAGUCCUUCAACAAUUAUGUGGUUUUAAUGGAUCGAAGCAAAAAAUUCUUAAAGAAAAAACCCUAUUGAGGCAUCUUGGCAUUGUCAAGUACCUUAAAAUGCAGUAGUACAGCGUGAACAGCCACUAUGAAGUAAUAUGUGACCUGAAAGGGUGACUAGUAUUUCUUCUCAGUUGGAUUUGAACACGUUGGUUGUUGGUUUGGAAAGGCCUGGGGUGGGGUUCUGGCUUCAAAAGGUUCGGAGGUAACGGCC
rnacentral:rRNA from 1 species